AGAGUUUGAUCCUGGCUCAGGAUGAACGCUAGCUACAGGCUUAACACAUGCAAGUCGAGGGGCAGCAUGAAACUUAGCUUGCUAAGUUUGAUGGCGACUGGCGCACGGGUGAGUAACACGUAUCCAACCUACCGUUUACUACGGGAUAGCCUUCUGAAAAGGAGAUUAAUACCGUAUGGUAUUCUAAAGUUUCAUGACAUUAGAAUUAAAGGUUUACCGGUAAUCGAUGGGGAUGCGUUCCAUUAGAUAGUAGGCGGGGUAACGGCCCACCUAGUCAGCGAUGGAUAGGGGUUCUGAGAGGAAGGUCCCCCACAUUGGAACUGAGACACGGUCCAAACUCCUACGGGAGGCAGCAGUGAGGAAUAUUGGUCAAUGGGCGAGAGCCUGAACCAGCCAAGUAAGCGUGAAGGAUGACUGCCCUAUGGGUUGUAAACUUCUUUUAUAAAGGAAUAAAGUGGUCCACGUGUGGAUUUUUGUAUGUACUUUAUGAAUAAGGAUCGGCUAACUCCGUGCCAGCCGCAGC
rnacentral:rRNA from 1 species